rnacentral:rRNA from 1 species
GAUGAACGCUGGCGGCGUGCUUAACACAUGCAAGUCGAACGAAGCACCUUGAUUUGAUUCUUCGGAUGAAGAUCUUGGUGACUGAGUGGCGGACGGGUGAGUAACGCGUGGGUAACCUGCCUCAUACAGGGGGAUAACAGUUAGAAAUGACUGCUAAUACCGCAUAAGACCACAGCACCGCAUGGUGCAGGGGUAAAAACUCCGGUGGUAUGAGAUGGACCCGCGUCUGAUUAGGUAGUUGGUGGGGUAACGGCCUACCAAGCCGACGAUCAGUAGCCGACCUGAGAGGGUGACCGGCAACAUUGGGACUGAGACACGGCCCAAACUCCUACGGGAGGCAGCAGUGGGGAAUAUUGCACAAUGGGGGAAACCCUGAUGCAGCGACGCCGCGUGAGCGAUGAAGUAUUUCGGUAUGUAAAGCUCUAUCAGCAGGGAAGAAAAUGACGGUACCUGACUAAGAAGCACCGGCUAAAUACGU